GGGGGAGUAGUUAAAUGGUAUAACUGCGGUCUCCAAAACCGCUGUCGUGGGUUCGAUUCCUACCUCCCCCGCCA
rnacentral:tRNA from 1 species